GACUGUUGUUGAGGGUGAUGGACUGGUGUUGAGGGUGAUGAACUGGUGGUGAGGGUCAAGGACUAUGCUUCCAGAAGUCCAUCUGUGUCCCCUCAGAUGAACUCCCUUCCACACUUCCCUUGCUUGUUAUGGACUGGUGGUGAGGGUGAUGGAAUUGGGUGGUGAGGGUGAUGGACUGGUGGUGAGGGCGAUGGACUGGUGGUGGUUGUGUGUGCUUGUUCCCCUAGUUCCAUGUCUCCAGAAGUCCAUCUGCGGGCCUUCGUUUGUUGGUGAUGGUGUUGUCGUGAGGGUGAUUGUCUGGUGGUGAGGGUGAUGGUCUGGUGGUGAGGGUGGUGGACUGGUGGUGAGGGUGGUGGACUGGUGGUGAGGGUGAUGGACUGGUGGUGAUGGUGGACUGGUAGUGAGGAUGAUGAACUGGUGGUGAGGGUGAUGGACUGGUGGUGGUGGUGGUGGUGGUGUGUGUUUGCUUUCCCUAGAUCCAUGUCUCCAGAAGUCCAUCUGCGGGCCCUCAGAUGAACUUCCUUCCACACUUCACUUGUUUUUGAUGGGCUGGUGGUGGUGGUUAUGGACUGGUGGUGACUGUGAUGGACUGGUGGUGAGGGUGAUGAACUGGUGGUGGUGGGGUGUGUGUGUGUGUGUGUGUGUGUGUGUGUGUGUGUGUGUGUUUGCUUUCCCUAGUUCCAUGUCUCCGGAAGUCCAUCUGCGGGCCCUCAGAUGAAC